ensembl:lncRNA LINC01091 long intergenic non-protein coding RNA 1091
AGAACUUGAUAGCUCUGUAAACACUGAAAUCCUUGUUGCCAUAACACCAGGAAAAAUAAUAUGGGCUCCUGCAUAUAAAUAUAACGAAGGCCUUGGGGAAUGGGAGCAUUUCUAAAUGACUUGAAGCUCUGUCACGGCAUAAUCUCUUAUAAAUAAAUGUCAGUGUAGUCACUGAAUGCAGACUGGAUUUUUGCCUGACUACGGUGCUCAGCCUUCUAGACAAUAGUUAUGCUAAGGGAUUAUCUUUUAACAUUGUGCAGUUAUCUCCUUUGUUUGUUUUCUUUUUUCAUUAUUCACAUAAGCCAAGGGAAAUGAAAAGCAUCUUAUUUCAGGCAAAAAGGCCUGUGAAUGAUUAACUCUGGUUCCAUGCGUUGGGACUUUGCAUAGCAACCCCGUGGCUUGCAACGACAAAAAAGCUCAAGGCAGGAACAGCAGCCCAGGGACCUGAGACCAGCGUUCUCAAAUGAAGGUGCCAGAUCUGCUGUUAGAGGAGAAUUCUUCUGUCCUAGCUGUGUCUCUGUGAUCUGUGGAUGAGGGUGGGAAAGCACCACUCAGUCAAUUGGGGUGUACAAAAUGGAGUUUGAGAAGGUCUCACAUCCAGGUUGUUUUGAAGCAAAGUCCAAGCAUUGUAUCACUUCAUCUGCAAAUAUUUCAAUAAGUACCCAAAAGACUUCCUAGGAUAGAGCUUGGAAAGGUUGGAAAAGUAAGGAUGAUUGAACUUGAAAGGUGUGAAUGAAAGAAGAAUUAUCUUUUGGGAUGGAGAAUAGUAGCUGUUUUCAAAGAAGAUUUUAUUUUAUCUUUCAUUUUUGGCCUAUAAGUUUUGCAGAGAAUCUGUGAUUAGAGUAUUUAGUAAAGUACUAUGUAAUUAUUGUUCUGUUAUUUGGACACAUGUUUAAACUAGAAUUUUGAAGAUAGCAAUUAGCAAUAAUUAUGUAUGUUCUAGCCACUUUAUUCAUUCUACCUCUUUUACCAUAUACUUUAAAGAUAUCUAUAUGGUAAAAGGUAAGUGGCAACUGAAUAAUCACAAAUACAUCAACAAGUAAAGAGAUGCUUUGUUUUA